rnacentral:rRNA from 1 species
GAUGAACGCUGGCGGCGUGCCUAAUACAUGCAAGUCGAGCGAACAGACGAGGAGCUUGCUCCUCUGACGUUAGCGGCGGACGGGUGAGUAACACGUGGAUAACCUACCUAUAAGACUGGGAUAACUUCGGGAAACCGGAGCUAAUACCGGAUAAUAUAUUGAACCGCAUGGUUCAAUAGUGAAAGACGGUUUUGCUGUCACUUAUAGAUGGAUCCGCGCCGCAUUAGCUAGUUGGUAAGGUAACGGCUUACCAAGGCAACGAUGCGUAGCCGACCUGAGAGGGGGAUCGGCAACACUGGAACUGAGACACGGUCCAGACUCCUACGGGAGGCAGCAGUAGGGAAUCUUCCGCAAUGGGCGAAAGCCUGACGGAGCAACGCCGCGUGAGUGAUGAAGGUCUUCGGAUCGUAAAACUCUGUUAUUAGGGAAGAACAAAUGUGUAAGUAACUAUGCACGUCUUGACGGUACCUAAUCAGAAAGCCACGGCUAACUACGUG